CUCCAAAUAACUACUUACUAGAGAAAUGAAAACCAAAACAAUUCUGUGAUAUCACUUCAUACUGUUCAUAUUGACAAAUGUUCUAAAAUGACAAAAGGACCAAAUAACAAAUAUUGGAGGAGAUAGGCAAAAAAUGGGGACAUUAAUACCUGUUAGAUAAGAGAGGAGACAUUCCACAUUGAGGAGAGAACAGUCUCUGACAGAGACUAGCUGAAGAGAAAGUGGGGGAGGAGCAAGAAGAAAAAACAGAGAAUUCUAGGAGAGAAUCAGAAUCUUGAGUAUCCAAUGAGAACUUCACUUCCACCUGGGAACCCGAGGAGGGAGAUAGAUUCCCUAGGCUGAGAAAAAGCCUAUUUCUUGGGAGAUCUAUUGUCCCUUCUGAACCCCUGAAUACCUCCAAUCAAACUCUCUGUGACAGCAAUCUAAAGUCCUCAGCAGGAUUGUGGAUUGGGACUUUGAAGAUCCUAUUGUGAAUUAAUUCGACUCUCUUCUGUACUCUACUGUUGAAUCCUCUGCCAACUUAUCCUAUUGCUGUUCCUACAACUCAUUUCCUCUACUUUUAUCCAUUGGUUUUUAAAUGAAGUUGGAGGAAAUCAUGUACCUGAGUUGACUGGGUAAACAACAAAUUUGUUAUUUAAUAUUGGCUGUAACUUUAGUGCUAUAAUGUUGCUUUUACUUUUCCCUAUCUGAUUUUUCAUAUUAGCUUCACAAAAGCUAUUCCAAGAUUUUUCUUCUCUUCUCAAAUUUGUCAAAUGUUGUAAUCUCCUCACCUCCUUGUUAAUCCUUGCCUCUUAAUAUAUUUUCAUUUCAAAAUCCUUUGACAUUAUCAUUUACAAUGGAGGGAAUGUAAAUCUACUGGAUUUUACCUUUUAACUUUUAAUUC
rnacentral:lncRNA from 1 species